AUGUCGAGGGAUAAGGUUCCUUAUCCUCUUGUUUUCAUGUGCGGAUAUGAAAUCCCAAUGGGGAAUUUUUCUAUGCAGCCAUUCGAGAUAGGCUCGCCGGCCGGAGGUGCCUCUGCUUUCGUUGGGUACAACGGGCGCGAGCGCCGCGCGGGGGAAGGGGACCCUCAACGACGGCCUGGAAGGCUGCGCCAUGGCCGGAGGGAGGAGCGACCGCGGCGCGCGCGCUUCAGCCAGCGCCGGCCAGAGGCCGCCAUCAUGCCUUCUGCAAGUGAGGCCUUGGUCGCAGGCGCUGCGUCAGAUGCGGCCGCGCCGUCACGGCCAAUCGCGCUCACGCAGUCUGCAGCCGUAGCGCGGACGGAGAGGGCCGACGUGCUUCUUGCCGGCCGUAGGCCGCUCGUGCCGUUCAAAAUCGACAGCGUCGAUCCAUUAAGAGGUUGCGAACAUUGUCCUGAUUCCAUGCCCACAUGCUCGGAUGAAGCAAUUCUCAACGGCGGUUGCCGGUUGACUCGUCACAUCGUGUAG
rnacentral:rRNA from 1 species